CCUUCGAUAGCUCAGUUGGUAGAGUGGAGGACUGUAGAUCCUUAGGUCGCUGGUUCAAAUCCGGCUCGAAGGA
rnacentral:tRNA from 1 species